rnacentral:pre_miRNA from 1 species
GUUUGUUAGUGUGUGAAUGGUGUUUAGCACCAGGGACAGGUAUGUUUACUUGUGUGUGGAUAGUGUUCAGUACCAGGGACAGGUUUGUUAGUGU